UUAAGUUCAGCGGGUAUCCCUACCUGAUCCGAGGUCCAUCAAGAAAAAAUUGUGGAUUGCUCUCACAAUAGGCUUAAAGGGUCGGCCAGCUUUCAAGCGGGUGACAAUGCCCCAUACGCAAUUAAAAGACCGGACUGCGACCCUGCCACUGCCUUUGGGGCUACUGUCCAAUAAGACAGUGAGUCCAUCACACAAGCCGG
rnacentral:misc_RNA from 1 species